rnacentral:rRNA from 1 species
UUGCAGGGCUAGUAUGAACGGGUAAACGAAAUAAAUUCUGUCUCAAUAUUUAUUUAAUAAAUUAACAUUUAAGUGAAGAGGCUUAAAUAAAUUUGUAGGACAAGAAGACCCUAUAGAGCUAAACCAAUAUUUUAUAUCNUAUAAAAAGANGUUCGGUUGGGGCGACCUAGGAAUAUUUAUCAUCCUAAAAAUAUAAGAUAUAUAUAUCACUAUUNUGAUCCUAUAAUGAUCAAAAAAUCAAGCUACCUUAGGGAUAACAGGCUAAUUCAUU